rnacentral:rRNA from 1 species
CAGUAGCCGCGGGAAUACGUAGGGUGCAAGCGUCAAUCGGAAUUACUGGGCGUAAAGCGUGCGCAGGCGGUUUGUUAAGACGGAUGUGAAAUCCCCGGGCUCAACCUGGGAACUGCAUUCGUGACUGGCAAGCUAGAGUAUGGCAGAGGGGGGUGGAAUUCCCGGUGUAGCGGUGAAAUGCGUAGAGAUCGGGAGGAACAUCAGUGGCGAAGGCGGCCAUCUGGGACAACACUGACGCUGAGGCACGAAAGCGUGGGGAGCAAACAGGAUUAGAUACCCGCGUAGUCCCUGUCUCUUAUAA